rnacentral:rRNA from 1 species
GAGAAUAACGACAGAUAGUUCACAAUGCCUGGAACGGUUUGUGGAUGAAGAUAGGAUGGGUCUGCGGCGUAUCAGGUUGUAGGGGGUGUAACGGACCCCCUAGCCAUCGACGCGUACGGGUGUUGGGAGACAUAGCCCGGAGAUGGAUUCUGAGACACGAAUCCAGACCCUACGGGGUGCAGCAGGCGCGAAAACUUCACAAUGCAGGAAACUGUGAUGAGGGAACUCCAAGUGUGUGCAUUUUAUGUACACUUUUCUGAACUCUUAAUCGGUUCAGGAAUAAGGGCUGGGAAAGACCGGUGCCAGCCGCCGCGGUAAUACCGGCAGCUCAAGUGGUCGUCGCUUUUAUUGGGCCUAAAACGUCCGUAGCCUGUUUGGUAAAUCUGUGGGUAAAUCAACCAGCUUAACUGGUUGAAUUCUGCAGAGACUGCCAGACUAGGGACCGGGAGAGGUGUGGGGUACUCGAGGGGUAGGGGUAAAAUCCUGUCAUCCUUCGAGGACCACCAGUUGCGAAGGCGCCACACUGGAACGGAUCCGACGGUCAGGGACGAAGCCUAGGGGCACGAACCGGAUUAGAUACCCGGGUAGUCCUAGGUGUAAACGCUGUGAACUUGGUGUCGGGGGUCCGCAAGGGGUCCCCGGUGCCGGAGUGAAGAUGUUAAGUUCACUGCCUGGGGAGUACGGUCGCAAGGCUGAAACUUAAAGGAAUUGGCGGGGGAGCACUGCAACGGGAGGAGCGUGCGGUUUAAUUGGACUCAACGCCGGGA